UUAGGGACUCGGCGAACUGCUCCGUAAUACGCAGAUANNNACCCUUGAGUGGAGAAUAAUGUCGCGAAAGUGACGCUAAUGCCCCAUAGGUGCUUGGUGCUGGAAUGCUCUUGCACCCAAAGCUCCGGCGCUUAAGGAUGGGUCUGUGGCCUAUCAGGCUGUUGUUGGUGUAAUGAACCAACAAACCGAUAACGGGUACGGGCUAUGUGAGUAGGAGCCCGGAGAUGGAUUCUGAGACAUGAAUCCAGGCACUACGGUGUGCAGCAAGCGCGAAAACUUUACAAUGCAUUCACGUGCGAUAAGGGGAUUCGGAGUGUUCCAGCACUGCUGGAACUUUUGUUCACUGCAAAUAGGUGGACGAAUAAGAGCUGGGUAAUACAGGUGCCAGCCGCCGCGGUAAUACCUGAGGCUCAAGUGAUGGCCACUAUUAUUGGGUCUAAAGCGCCCGUAGCCGGUUCGGUAAGUUCCUGGUGAAAUCCUCCAGCAGACUGGAGGGCGUGCUGGGAAUACUACUGGACUUGAGACCGGGAGAGGAUGGGGGUACUUUUGGGGUAGGGGUUAAAUCCUGUAAUCCCAAAGGGACCACCUGUGGCGAAGGCGCCCAUCUGGAACGGGUCUGACGGUGAGGGACGAAAGCGUGGGUAGCGACCGGGAUUAGAUACCCCGUUAGUCCACGCCGUAAACGAUGCCCGCUUGGUGCCGCAAGCUUCUUGGGAGCUUGCGGUGCCGUAGUGUAGAUGUUAAGCGGGCCACCUGGGGAGUACGUCCGCAAGGAUGAAACUUAA
rnacentral:rRNA from 1 species